UACAGAGGGCGCAAGCGUUGUUCGGAAUUAUUGGGCGUAAAGCGCGUGUAGGUGGUUUGGAAAGUUGGAUGUGAAAGCCCGGGGCUCAACCCCGGAAUGGCAUUUAAAACUCCCAAGCUAGAGUCCCGGAGGGGAAGGCGGAAUUCCCGGUGUAGAGGUGAAAUUCGUAGAUAUCGGGAGGAACACCAGUGGCGAAGGCGGCCUUCUGGACGGUGACUGACACUGAGACGCGAAAGCGUGGGGAGCAAACAGG
rnacentral:rRNA from 1 species